rnacentral:lncRNA from 1 species
UGUUUUAAGAAAAACAAAUCAAUAUCAAAAACGAAUUUUUCAAAUAUUGGAAGUAACUACUACUAUGACGGUUUUUGCAUUCCUUUGAAUUUGGACUUUAUAGUUAUCUUAGGCUCUUGGAUGACCAUGGACUUAUUUGGUUAUUGCAACAACGAGCCAACAUUGUUGAAUAAGAACUUGGGGAGGUUGUGUCAAUUUAAUUACGAGCUUUUCAAUCCAAUUAAAACAUUUUCAUUGAGCCAUUAGAAAUGAAAGACGAUCAUUCAUUGCUAAUUAGGGCGUUGGACCCAUUUAAUCUUUAAUCUCAUGUCAAAACCCUCUUUUAAUCAUGUCACCUUACCAAUAGUUAAAGAAACUCUAGUCUAGUACUAGAGGGAAUCAACUAAUGGAAAGAGAUUUAAGAAGUAAUAAGAAUUACAAACCGAUUUGUACAAAUUCCUACAAAUUACAUAUACUAAGAGGGAGAGAUAGAUUAAUUUCCAACGUGACAAGGUCCAAUUGAAACAGUAAUUAAAACACAUUCCCAAGGUUCAAACAAUUUGAGUUUAGCGCCUUAUCUCAUAGCUCAAUUAUCGUUUAAGGCAUAAGUCCAUAGUCACCCAUUUUUCUAACUACUUAAUCACAUUAAAUAAUCAUAUGGAAUGCAACAUAAACAUUUAGAUUUAGUGCAUAUGGGCAUAACAUUAUUAUGAGUUUAAACAACUAACAAAAUUAAAAUCAAAUAUUUUAACUUUCUAGUUAGAUGGGGCCUAUUAUGCAAAUAUGAAAAGUUAGGAGUCAAACCGUAAAUACUUGAAAGUAAAUAUCAACUUUUCAAAAAUUACAAAAUAGCCCCACAAGUGGGUAAUCCACUAGGGUGGCCGGCCACAUUAAGGCGAGAUGGGAAGUCUCACCCAUCUUGCAUUGAACCAACAUAAAGUAGAAAAAAUUAAAUUUUGCUUGUCACUUGGUUUUGCUUUAAAGACUUUAGAGAAAAGGGUGAUGGAAAUUCUCCUAGUCAAGUCUAGGAUUUAAUAAAUUUUGUGAUGGUUAUGGAUGGUAUGUACAUCAUCCAAAACCACAAAACAAUGCAUAAAAUCCAAAUAAAACCAUUUUCACCAAAACCCAAACCAUGAACACCAAGAACAAAACCAUGAACACAUUUUCAAGAUUUGUAUAUUCUUGGUGAUUUUUCAAACCCAAAACAAAAGUGACAAGAACUCUACUUUCUAGCUUUAAAGUGUGUGUGUGUGUGAUUCAAAAUAAAAACACAAACACAUAGCCAAAAUCCCCCUUUUGCCGUGCCCUCCCUAUGACUCAAAACCCCAAAAUUUGUUCUAAACUCAUUUUUCAUUCAUGCAUCCAAAAGACUUUUUGCAUACAUAUCUUUCUCAACUAUUGAUUUACAUUUUUCAACAAUUGAAAAACAAAAGAUAAACAUACUUUGAAUGAAGCAAUAAUAUGUCAUACAUAAAAUUAAAAACCCAUAUGCAUAAAAUCCAAAAGGACACAUCAUACAUAAACCUUUGGCUCUGAUACCACUUGAAGGGAAAUUAUGAGAUUUCAUGUGGGAUUUCUAGUGACUAGCAUGCAUAUACAAUUCAAAAUUUAUAUACGAAAGCAACCGAAGCAUGUUAUCAAAUAAUAUCAUAGCUCUAGUUAUGUAAAUCCCCUUCAAGAUGCAUAGGUUUAUGUAAGAUGCAUCAAAAACAAAUUUAUAUUAGAACAAAGUUUAGGAGUAGUUUUAUACGUCUUGAUCUAGAUCUUAGACCAAGGAUGGACCACCUCCAAGCCCUUUGCUCCU